rnacentral:rRNA from 1 species
CCCUUAGAUGUCCUGGGCCGCACGCGCGCUACACUGAGUGUCUGAGAUACGAGUCUGCCUGGUCCGGCAAGGUCUAGGUAAUCGCUAAAAGACGCAUCAUGCUUGGGAUAGAUUAUUGCAAAUAUUAAUCUUGAACGAGGAAUUCCUAGUAAGCGCAAGUCAACAGCUUGCGUUGAUUACGUCCCUGCCCUUUGUACACACCGCCCGUCGCUACUACUGAUUGGAUGUUUAAGCGAGGUUCUCGAACUGCUAGCGACUUGGCUUCGGUGAGGUCGCAGUGUGGGAAGUGAACCUAGCGUUGGUGUCGAGAGGAAGUAAAAGGCGGAACA